UAUGGCCAUAUUAUGUUGAAACACUGGUUCCUGUAUGAUCAUUGAAGUUAAACAAUGUUGAUCCUGGUCAGUACCUAGAUGGAUGACCGCUUGGAAAUACCAGGUGCUGUAA